ACUUGACAUCCCCAUCAACAUCACGAUUUCCAAUUCGAAAUUGAAGCCUCAAUCAAGCAACGGAGCAAUUGAUAAGUCUGGUAUUGCCGAUUUUCGAAUCUGGUGAUCUCAUUCUCAAAUUUUUAGACAGAACCCGAACCCGAACCCGACUGACCGCGUUGUCCUUAUCGUUUUCUUGUUUCUUCUUUCACCGCGUCCUCGCUCUCUCUCACUGGCAAGGAGCCAUGGACAAUUCUGUAUUGGAUUCUAAUGCCUUGAAACCUUAAUCAAGGCAAAAAUUGUUAUCAAGGACAACUCUGUAUGCCUGUAGACUACCUAAACCACGUGCACAAUUAAAAGUAAGAUGGAUCAUUCCUCUUCAAUAUUUCAUUAUUAACCCCUGGGUCUCCUCCAAUAUCAUUUGCUAGAGCCAUUUGGAAUUGAUAUCUGCUGGAAAUUGAUGUCUGUUUUGGGUUAGCCCAGGGUUCUCUGAAUAUCAUCACCAUCUAGGCCAGGUUUCUACAGCUAAUAGGGAAUGAGAAACACUUCGCAUGAUUUAAUUGUUUGGGAAUCUACUUUGCUGCAUAAUGAGGUUGUAGCUGAGGGACGCGAUCUUAUUACAAAAGAAACUGCGGACAGGAUGUCUUUUCUGCUGAUUAAUUUGUCAGAACCAAAGAAACGGUGAACUCAAGUACCAUUUGAAAUUGCUAGUAAUAGCUGGUUAGCCAUACGGCAGUGAUAUUGUCCUCUUGGUUAAUGAAACUAGCUACUAUUUUGUGUCGACUAUUUUGAUCUUCUUUUAAAUUUUUAUCAAUGCUUUUGACAUAAUUAUCAAUUUAGGCAUAGACGAAGACUUAUGAUGGGCUCAAGGAAUGCAAGUACAGCCUCUAGUCUGUCACGA